CCGCACCGUACUGGGCGGGGGUCUGGGGAGCGCAGCAGCCAUGGCAAGCUGUCUCCUGCUCAACAACGGCGCCAAGAUGCCCAUCCUGGGGUUGGGUACCUGGAAGUCCCCUCCAGGGCAGGUGACUGAGGCCGUGAAGGUGGCCAUUGACGUCGGGUACCGCCACAUCGACUGUGCCCAUGUGUACCAGAAUGAGAAUGAGGUGGGGGUGGCCAUUCAGGAGAAGCUCAGGGAGCAGGUGGUGAAGCGUGAGGAGCUCUUCAUCGUCAGCAAGCUGUGGUGCACGUACCAUGAGAAGGGCCUGGUGAAAGGAGCCUGCCAGAAGACACUCAGCGACCUGAAGCUGGACUACCUGGACCUCUACCUUAUUCACUGGCCGACUGGCUUUAAGCCUGGGAAGGAAUUUUUCCCGUUGGAUGAGUCGGGCAAUGUGGUUCCCAGUGACACCAACAUUCUGGACACGUGGGUGGCCAUGGAAGAGCUGGUGGAUGAAGGGCUGGUGAAAGCUAUUGGCAUCUCCAACUUCAACCAUCUCCAGGUGGAGACGAUCUUAAACAAACCUGGCUUGAAGUAUAAGCCUGCAGUUAACCAGAUUGAGUGCCACCCAUAUCUCACUCAGGAGAAGUUAAUCCAGUACUGCCAGUCCAAAGGCAUCGUGGUGACCGCCUACAGCCCCCUCGGCUCUCCUGACAGGCCCUGGGCCAAGCCCGAGGACCCUUCUCUCCUGGAGGAUCCCAGGAUCAAGGCGAUCGCAGCCAAGCACAAUAAAACUACAGCCCAGGUACAGCCACUUCAGGUGUUCCUGACCGUCCACAACUGCCUGCAUUCCUGAUAGUCCUGUUAGCCAAGAGGAGGAAGUGACUGAGCCUGUUACACCCUCACAGGAAGUAUGGUUAGGGGUCCUCAAGUACAGAGUGGAAAGGGCACAGAUCGGGGUUUUAGAAGACUCUGGCAUGGGCUCUUAGAUUAAUAGUGCCUGUCCCCACUACUCCAAGGGUGACUGCCACGAGGGCCAGCGCUUGUUCAUUGAUGUGGAAGCUCAUCUGUACAAAUGUAAGAGCUCUUAGCUGUGCAGGGAAUGUUCUUUCUCCUGAGUGGCAGUGUGCAUUUCUAGCCAGUGGAGGGCCUCUUGUGGUCUCAUGAUAUGCCUGAGACACUGAAGAGUGUGGCACAGUGGCUAGCGCAGGACUCGAGUCAGAUCUGGACCUGAAUGCGUCGCCUACCUGUUGCUAGCUGUGACCUGACAUCUUGGAGCCCCUCUCUGAUCACCUGUGGAGUUCUAGCACGUCCUUCUGCAGGUUGUGUGUGUGAGAGACUGAGAUCAUGGGUGCGAGUGCCUGGCAUGUAUACACGCUCACUGUCUCCCUGGGCUCACAGGUCCUGAUCCGGUUCCCCAUGCAGAGGAACUUGGUGGUGAUCCCCAAGUCUGUGACACCAGAACGCAUUGCUGAGAACUUUAAGGUCUUUGACUUUGAACUGAGCAGCCAGGAUAUGACCACCUUACUCAGCUACAACAGGAACUGGAGGGUCUGUGCCUUGUUGAGCUGUACCUCCCACAAGGAUUACCCCUUCCAUGAAGAGUUUUGAAGCUGUGGUUGUCUGCUCGUCCCCAAGUGACCUAUACCUGUGUUUUCUGCCUCAUUUUUUUCCUUGCAAAUGUAGUAUGGCCUGUGUCACUCAGCGGGACAGCAACCUGUAGAGUGGCCAGCGAGGGCGUGUCUAGGUUGAUGUUGGAUCUCAAGAGCCCUGUCAGUAGAGUAGAAGUCUCUUCCAGUUUGCUUUGCCCUUCUUUCUACCCUGCUGGGGAAAGUACAACCUGAAUACCCUUUUCUGACCAAAGAGAAGCAAAAUCUACCAGGUCAAAAUAGUGCCACUAACAGUUGAGUUUUGACUGCUUGGAACUGUAAUCCUUUCAGCAAGACUUC
rnacentral:sRNA from 1 species